UUUACUUCUUGGUGCCCUAGCGUAACUCCAUCAGCCCUCGCCAUCCUCCCUGCGCCGCCCUAUCCAGCGCCUCGCCUCUCUCCCCCGCCGACCUCCCUGCGCUGCCCCGCCCUAUCCAACUCUCGCUUCUCUCCCCCGCCGACCUCCCUGCGCCGCCCUGCCCUAUCCAACGCCUCGCUUCUCUCCCCCAUCGACCUCCUUGACAUCGCCCUGCCUUGCGUCGUCGCUUCUCUGCUGCCCGACCUCAAUCUUUAGCGCCCUAGCUAGUCGACCUCUAGAACUGUAUCUUGUCGGCGCCGUCCUCUUCUUCUCUGGUCACCGCCACCACGUCUCAGAGCCUCCA
rnacentral:lncRNA from 1 species